UACGGAGGGUGCAAGCGUUAAUCGGAAUUACUGGGCGUAAAGAGUGCGUAGGUGGUUUAUUAAGUUAUCUGUGAAAUCCCUGGGCUUAACCUGGGCAGGUCAGAUAAGACUGGUGAACUCGAGUAUAGGAGAGGGUAGUGGAAUUUCCGGUGUAGCGGUGAAAUGCGUAGAGAUCGGAAGGAACACCAGUGGCGAAGGCGGCUACCUGGCCUGAUACUGACACUGAGGCACGAAAGCGUGGGGAGCAAACAGGAUUAGAUACCCGGGUAGU
rnacentral:rRNA from 1 species